rnacentral:rRNA from 1 species
UUCGCCCUUUUCCGGUUGAUCCUGCCGGAGGCUACUGCUAUCGGGAUUCGAUUAAGCCAUGCGAGUCGAGAGGGUUCGGCCCUCGGCUGACUGCUCAGUAACACGUGGAUAACUUGCCCUCAGGUAGGGGAUAAUCUCGGGAAACUGAGGAUAAUACCCUAUAGACAUCCUUUGCUGGAACGCUUGGAUGUUCAAAGGUAACGCCUGAGGAUAGGUCUGCGGCCUAUCAGGUUGUAGUGGGUGUAAUGGACCCACUAGCCCGCGACGGGUACGGGCCUUGAAAGAGGUAGCCCGGAGAUGGACUCUGAGACACGAGUCCAGGCCCUACGGGGCGCAGCAGGCGCGAAAACUUCGCAAUGCGGGAAACCGUGACGAGGGAAUCCCGAGUGCUCAUACAAUGUAUGGGCUUUUCUUAUGUGUAAAUAGCAUGAGGAAUAAGGGCUGGGUAAGACCGGUGCCAGCCGCCGCGGGAAUACCGGCAGCUCUAGUGGUAGCCACUUUUAUUGGGCCUAAAGCGUCCGU